UACGUAGGGUGCAAGCGUUAAUCGGAAUUACUGGGCGUAAAGCGUGCGCAGGCGGUUGUGUAAGUCUGUCGUGAAAUCCCCGGGCUCAACCUGGGAAUUGCGAUGGAGACUGCACGGCUAGAGUGUGUCAGAGGGGGGUAGAAUUCCACGUGUAGCAGUGAAAUGCGUAGAUAUGUGGAGGAACACCGAUGGCGAAGGCAGCCCCCUGGGUCAAGAUUGACGCUCAUGCACGAAAGCGUGGGGAGCAAACAGG
rnacentral:rRNA from 1 species